rnacentral:rRNA from 1 species
AUGGAUAGGCAAGGCAUUUCCUCUCUGGUCUACGACAACAACGACGGCGUGAACAACUACAUCUCCAAAGCGUCUAUCUUUGAUCUACAACGACAAAUGCAAGGCGCACAAUCAAGAUUGCGAGAGCGCAUCGAGAACAUCUCCAUCAACAUUCGUCACUCCGAAGCAAGGAAAAGGGAUUACAUCGACAAGAAGCUUUCCACACAUAAAGAGGAGCAAGAUGCAAGGAUGGAGGAGAUUAGAGCCUUGAUCAAGUCUUCUUCCCCUUCGUCAUCCUCAAGGCGGCGACAUUCAAGCAACAAGUCUUCGAAGCGCGGAGACGAUGCAAGCGCAAAUCAUCCUCGUCCACAUCUACAUGGCGACCACCAUCACGUUCGUGAUCCACAUCGUCAUGAAGGGCAAGUAAUCUCACGGGAACAUGUGCACGACGACGACGAACAACAUCUACUACGAGCUCAAGCACGACAACGACAUCAUCAUCACGAAGAUGCUCCACAAGCGCAAAUGCACAAGUCCCAACAAGCCCUACUUCACGCCAAGUCCAAGCUUCAUGAGCUCAAAAGAAGACCGCGAGACGACCACCACCAAGACGGCGCUACGGCUACCACCACCACUUCGGCAUCUUCGCCAAGUGCUAUCAAGGCUUCUUCACCUUUGGACGUACGGCAUCUUCGCCUACUUCCCACGUGUAUGCCUAUUUCGACUUCAUCAAGUCCAAGGUGA